rnacentral:lncRNA from 1 species
ACAAACUCAAAAUUAAAAGAACACAUCUUGGAACAAAACAUGGUUACAGUGAGCAGCUUGAAGUUAGAAUCGAUUAUAAUCACUAUUAGAAACCACUCCUUCAUAUAUCACUAAUAGGAAUAUAUCACUAUUUUUUUUAUCAGUAAUUGAAAAACAUUGUUACAGUCACGCAAAUUGGGUGCUACUUCACAAUUUUAGGUCUUAAAAAUCCCUUUUGGCUAGUGAAUCCCUAAAACAUCUCAAAAAUCAAUUUUAGGUCUUAAAGAAUCCCUUUUGGCUAGUGAAUCCAACCAUGUACAAACUCAAAAUUAAA